UGGGGAAUAUUGCACAAUGGAGGAAACUCUGAUGCAGCGACGCCGCGUGAGGGAAGAAGGUAUUCGUAUUGUAAACCUCUGUCUUCAAGGAAGAAAGCGAAAGUAGACGGUACUUGAGGAGGAAGCCACGGCUAACUACGUGCCAGCAGCCGCGGUAAAACGUAGGUGGCAAGCGUUGUCCGGAAUUACUGGGUGUAAAGGGAGCGCAGGCGGUUUUUCAAGUUGGGUGUUUAAUCUACGGGCUCAACCCGUAUCAGCACUCAAAACUGAAAGACUUGAGUAAAGUAGAGGUAGGCGGAAUUUCCGGUGUAGCGGUGGAAUGCGUAGAUAUCGGAAGGAACACCAGUGGCGAAGGCGGCCUACUGGGCUUUUACUGACGCUGAGGCUCGAAAGCAUGGGUAGCAAACAGG
rnacentral:rRNA from 2 species